rnacentral:lncRNA from 1 species
GAGAUGUAGUUUAGAUUUACAUGCAGUUUAAGGGUAAUUUGAAGUUAAAAGUGAAGAACCCUAGAAAUAUUUCUCUUUCGAUUCUAACGCUACAUUCUCACGGCGAUCGGGCUGCGCACAACGUGCACUCCAUCUUCCCAGGUGAGAUCCGAGAAGCUCCAUUUCCGCGCUUGGGGAUCCGCCGCUAUGGAUCCCUUGGCGGAGACGGUGACGCUGUAGCUCAGCUUCUGUCCGGCGCUUGUGAAGCUCAGCUUGCUGGGAGUGACCGAGAUCGAGAUUCCUUUGGCGCUUCCCACGGAAGCGGUGUAGGUCGCCCUGGGAUUUCCCACAUUGGUCACUGUCCUCUCCACGGUCUUGCUGGAUCCAUCCAAGAGGACUGCGAUGGAGGGAUAGUUGAGGCUGAAAGAGGUGUCGUUCCUGGGGCAUUUGCUGCUACUGUCGCCUGUGAUGUUUUGGAUUUGCUUGGAGGUAUAGCCCGAGUUACAGAGAUAGGUGAUAUAGUCGAGAGGAUCAGUGUCGUAGACUAGUCCUGGAUCGACUGCUUUCGCUGGUUGGAUCUCACCGUUUCCAACGUCGAAAACAGUCGCUGCCUUGUUAGUGCUUGGAUCGACGAUUGUUUUGUUGGUGUUGUCUUUGGUGAUGGCUGCCAAGAACACUCUUGAGUCUCCAGUUUUAUUUUGUUUUCUCUCGACUUACCUGUGGUCAUGACUGCUGAUUUGAUCGCCGCAGGACUCCAUGUUGGGUGAAUGGAUUUCAAGUAAGCGAUGGUGCCACUGACGUGAGGGCACGCCAUGGAAGUUCCAGAGAGAAAAGUGUACUCCACGAACACUUCCUUUCCAUUGUCAGUGUCGGGGAUAUUGCUUGGCCAAGCUGCUAAGAUCUCGACUCCUGGAGCGGUAACGUCCGGCUGCAACGCGAGAUAAGUCACAAGCUUCAUGGUAUGUCUUUCGAGUACCUUGAUGAUAUCCGGACUGAUUGUGUGUGGACCUCUUGACGAAAACUCCGCUACGACAGGUGCUGGCUUGUAAGGAAUCGUUGUUCCUCUGAGAAUUCGUGAUUUACGACUGCACAGAAACCACGA